GAACGACUCUCGGCAACGGAUAUCUCGGCUCUUGCAUCGAUGAAGAACGUAGCGGAAUGCGAUACUUGGUGUGAAUUGCAGAAUCCCGUGAACCAUCGAGUCUUUGAACGCAAGUUGCGCCCGAAGCCAUUAGGCCGAGGGCACGCCUGCCUGGGUGUCACAC
rnacentral:rRNA from 2 species